GAUGAACGCUGGCGGCGUGCCUAAUACAUGCAAGUCGAGCGAACAGACGAGGAGCUUGCUCCUCUGACGUUAGCGGCGGACGGGUCAGUAACACGUGGAUAACCUACCUAUAAGACUGGGAUAACUUCGGGAAACCGGAGCUAAUACCGGAUAAUAUAUUGAACCGCAUGGUUCAAUAGUGAAAGACGGUUUUGCUGUCACUUAUAGAUGGAUCCGCGCUGCAUUAGCUAGUUGGUAAGGUAACGGCUUACCAAGACAACGAUGCGUAGCCGACAUGCGAGGGUGAUCGGCCACACUGUAACUGGAACACGGUCCCGACUCCUACGGCGGGCAGCAGUAGGGAAUCUUCCGCAAUGGGCGAAAACCUGACGGAGCAACGCCUCGUGAGUGAUGAAGGUCUUCAGAUCGUAAAACUCUGUUAUUAGGAAAGAACAAAUGUGUAAGUAACUAUGCACGUCUUGACGGUACCUAAUCAGAAAGCCACGGCUAACUACGUG
rnacentral:rRNA from 1 species